CGGAAAGUCCUUUAUCAAAUGGCAAAAUCGAAAGCUCAAACACAUCAAACGAAUGGAUAACAACUGUCAUAUUCCUGACUUGGUACAGGCAUUUUCUUAUGUAGAAAAUGGUGGAUUAAACCUGGUUUUAUAGCUAGCUAAACCUCUCAGACAGUCGCAUAAAAUUCCAUUAUAUUGACAACAAUGUGUGAACAAAACAAACAGACAUAAUAGGAAAAAGUCAAAAAUAGGGGCACAGCAGCCAACAUUGUGUUCUAAUCUUAAUCACUAUUAAAAAUGUGACAAAGCUAAAAAGUGUAAUUUCUAGGAAAUAUUCGGUUGGAGAUAUUUAACACUGUUCUACCAUAAUACCAUAUAGUGACAGGUGGACUACAGAAAGUUAAACACGAUAAAGUUACAUUGUUCCUAUAUCAUAAACCAAUAUUCAGGUGCAGCGUUACAACUUUACAUCAAAUACCAAAAAGGAUGUUCCUUUCUGUAAUUCUGGUUCUGUGUUGUAUAUCUGUGAUCGAGUCGAAAACAUGUGACAGAUCCAAGGAGAUAUCAAUGAUAUCUGAAAUGCGGUCAUUACUUGAGGCAUUCGAAAACAGGAUAAACGACGAUUCUUGCAAGUGCACUCCUAACUCAGAAGAGUGUCCAGCCGGUUGGAAGAAAUACAAGAAUCACUGCUACUUUUUUUCACCUGACGCAAAAACAUGGCAUGCUGCUGCUAAACAAUGUAAAAAUAUGAGAGGAUACCUUGUGAAAAUUACAGACUCAGCAGAAAAUUCGUG